rnacentral:rRNA from 1 species
AGAGUUUGAUCCUGGCUCAGGACGAACGCUGGCGGCGUGCUUAACACAUGCAAGUCGAACGAUGAAGCCCUUCGGGGUGGAUUAGUGGCGAACGGGUGAGUAACACGUGGGCAAUCUGCCCUGCACUCUGGGACAAGCCCUGGAAACGGGGUCUAAUACCGGAUACGACCGCUGACCGCAUGGUUGGUGGUGGAAAGCUCCGGCGGUGCAGAUGAGCCCGCGGCCUAUCAGCUUGUUGGUGGGUGAUGGCCUACCAAGGCGACGACGGGUAGCCGGCCUGAGAGGGCGACCGGCCACACUGGGACUGAGACACGGCCCAGACUCCUACGGGAGGCAGCAGUGGGGAAUAUUGCACAAUGGGCGAAAGCCUGAUGCAGCGACGCCGCGUGAGGGAUGACGGCCUUCGGGUUGUAAACCUCUUUCAGCAGGGAAGAAGCGAAAGUGACGGUACCUGCAGAAGAAGCGCCGGCUAACUACGUGCCAGCAGCCGCGGUAAUACGUAGGGCGCAAGCGUUGUCCGGAAUUAUUGGGCGUAAAGAGCUCGUAGGCGGCUUGUUGCGUCGGAUGUGAAAGCCCGGGGCUUAACCCCGGGUCCUGCAUUCGAUACGGGCAGGCUAGAGUUCGGUAGGGGAGAUCGGAAUUCCUGGUGUAGCGGUGAAAUGCGCAGAUAUCAGGAGGAACACCGGUGGCGAAGGCGGAUCUCUGGGCCGAUACUGGACGCUGAGGAGCGAAAGCGUGGGGAGCGAACAGGAUUAGAUACCCUGGUAGUCCACGCCGUAAACGUUGGGAACUUAGGUGUGGGCGACAUUCCACGUCGUCCGUGCCGCAGCUAACGCAUUAAGUUCCCCGCCUGGGAGUACGGCGUGGACUACCAGGGUAUCUAAUCCUGUUCGCUCCCCACGCUUUCGCUCCUCAGCGUCAGUAUCCGGCCCAGAGAUCCGCCUUCGCCACCGGUGUUCCUCCUGAUAUCUGCGCAUUUCACCGCUACACCAGGAAUUCCGAUCUCCCCCUACCGAACUCUAGCCUGCCCGUAUCGAAUGCAGACCCGGGGUUAAGCCCCGGGCUUUCACAUCCGACGCAACAAGCCGCCUACGAGCUCUUUACGCCCAAUAAUUCCGGACAACGCUUGCGCCCCUACGUAUUACCGCGGCUGCUGGCACGUAGUUA